rnacentral:rRNA from 1 species
AAGUGCGAUAAGGGGACCCCAAGUGCGAGGGCAUAUAGUCCUCGCUUUUCUCGACUGUAAGGCGGUCGUGGAAUAAGAGCUGGGCAAGACCGGUGCCAGCCGCCGCGGUAAUACCGGCAGCUCAAGUGAUGACCGAUAUUAUUGGGCCUAAAGCGUCCGUAGCCGGCCACGAAGGUUCAUCGGGAAAUCCGCCAGCUCAACUGGCGGGCGUCCGGUGAAAACCACGUGGCUUGGGACCGGAAGGCUCGAGGGGUACGUCCGGGGUAGGAGUGAAAUCCCGUAAUCCUGGACGGACCACCGAUGGCGAAAGCACCUCGAGAAGACGGAUCCGACGGUGAGGGACGAAAGCUAGGGUCUCGAACCGGAUUAGAUACCCGGGUAGUCCUAGCUGUAAACGAUGCUCGCUAGGUGU